GGAACCCUUCAUUGCUGAGUCAGCCAAUUGAUCGGAAUUGGCUGUUGACAGCUCCAAGUUUAUUCUGUCAAUUCUGUCAACUGAUGUUUGAAAAAUUAAAAAAUGCCUCAUUCUUAUUUUUAUUUGGCCGUUUUGUUAAAAAAGUUUUUCACUUAUCUCGAGCACUCUCAAAAUCAAAGUUUAAUUUCAGCGUCAGUCCUCGAUCCCGGAUUGAUUUAAAUUUUGCAAAUAGAAUAGACCGUCACAUAAAGUACUAACCCAUUCUGGAUUCAUUGUUGCAAUUUUUUUUUGGACGUUGAUGCACUAUGCUCACUACAAACAAGUGGCCUUUACGACACCAAUCAAUGAUUGUUACGCACGGAGCCCGUUCACCAUUUAGGACGAGUAACCGAAAUCGUGGACAAAGAAAAAGACAAUAUUACAAUAGAAAAUUAAAAUUUAUAAAGUAAAA